rnacentral:rRNA from 1 species
UACGUAGGGUGCAAGCGUUAAUCGGAAUUACUGGGCGUAAAGCGUGCGCAGGCGGUGAUGUAAGACAGGUGUGAAAUCCCCGGGCUUAACCUGGGAACUGCAUUUGUGACUGCAUCGCUGGAGUGCGGCAGAGGGGGAUGGAAUUCCGCGUGUAGCAGUGAAAUGCGCAGAUAUCAGGAAGAACACCAAUGGCGAAGGCAGUUCUCUGGGACGGUACUGACGCUGAGACGCGAAAGCGUGGGGAGCGAACAGG